UGGAUGCCUUGGCAGUCAGAGGCGAUGAAAGACGUGAUAGCCUGCGAAAAGCUCCGGGGAGGCGGCAAAUAUCCUUUGAUCCGGAGAUGUCUGAAUGGGGGAACCCACCUACUUUAAGGUAGGUAUUGCAACAUGAAUACAUAGUGUUGCAAGGCGAACGAGGGGAAGUGAAACAUCUCAGUACCCUUAGGAAAAGAAAUCAAUUGAGAUUCCCUCAGUAGCGGCGAGCGAACGGGGAUCAGCCCAUUAAGUUAUGUGUGUUUUAGUGGAACGCUCUGGGAAGUGCGAACGUAGAGGGUGAUAUUCCCGUACACGAAAGGGCACACAUAAUGAUGACGAGUAGGGCGAGGCACGUGAAACCUUGUCUGAAUAUGGGGGGACCAUCCUCCAAGGCUAAAUACUCCUGACUGACCGAUAGUGAACCAGUACCGUGAGGGAAAGGCGAAAAGAACCCCUGUGAGGGGAGUGAAAUAGAUCCUGAAACCGCAUGCAUACAAGCAGUGGGAGCACCUUCGUGGUGUGACUGCGUACCUUUUGUAUAAUGGGU
rnacentral:rRNA from 1 species